AAAAGAGGCGGUUUAGGCAGAGGCCUACAUUCUGAGUUUCUGAGUCACCUGCAUCAAUCAAUAUGAAUUCCUCGCUGCUGUUCCUCCUCAUAGUUACCAUAGUCCUGGCCCUCGCAGUCGCCUCACCACAGAUACCGGGCUUCGAAAUCGUUGGGAACCACAGCAUCUUCGAUAGCGACGAGGACUUAGAUGAAGCUGCAGGAAAUCUCACUGCGUCGAUAUAGGUGAAAUCAAAGUCUAAACAAACCAAGACUUCGAUAAGCACGAUCGCCAAAUACAACAUAAUAAUUAUGCCAGUACCUACAGAACCAAAAUAGCACGAAACUACACAGUAGAAAACAUUAUUGUAAUAUGAUUUUUAUUUUACUUUUACAAUCAACUGUUAUCGUGAUACUGUACAAUGGAUACUUUGAAUAAAUAAAUAAUCUA